UGGGAGGCAGCCCUUAGCCUCAUGAAGCCUCUCUACUAAGUGAGUCACUCAGCUUUCUAUCCCUGCUGGUCAUGUACAGGAUCAGGUGAGUGAAUCUACGCCUCCCAGGACUGCUGUAAGGAUAACCAGAAAUCCUGGCAUCCCACAGUGCACAAUACCAGGCUCAUAGCUGGCCCAGUCUGAGUUUCAGCAAUGUCCUUUGAGAAAUACUUAAAUAUACCUUAAAAUUUAGAAAAUGAGUGUGUUCGGGCAAAUUGUCUGCAAUCAUAGCAAAUUAAAACCGCUGAGAGGACCAGGCUCCUCUUUUUUAAUUGUUCACUGAACAAUCUCCAUAGCACAUCUGCAGAUAAGCACUGGCCAUUGGCCCUUGACUGAAGGAACCUAGGCCCAAUAGGGAGGGAAAAGGCAUUAAUUUGCUACUCACCUUGCAGUGUCCGGACAUCAGACACCAGGCUCCAGGCACUGCCAUUUCUUAGACUAGGGACAUCUCACAACCCUGUACUGGAAAAACGAUAAGGGAACCAGACUGGCCCUUCUGCAGGGGUCAGGACCAGAGGAAGGACUAAGGCUCUUGAGUUUGGCCAUCUGCAAAGCCAGAUGCUAUCCACUCUGCCCCAGGGACAUGACUGCCAGUGAGUCUGCCUGGCAGCCACUGCCAAGUAGAAGACAGGGGAGUCUCCUUCUAGGAAUAAGGGACAAAACAUGUGCAACUGUCCACAGAGGCCCUUUGAGGGCCCGCACAGGGCUGAAAGAUGAGUGCCAACUCAGCCACAGCCAUGUGACUCACACCACCCCAAACCGGGUUUCCAGUGGUGUCUCUCAGGAUCAGUGUGGCAACCACGGAGAGCUUUCUAGGGGCACUGUGAGCUCAGGUGAGCCAGCUGGGCUACGUGGACUUGCUGCAGACUCCAAUACACAUCAGUAUUUAACAAUUCCAAGAAACUUUAGCAAAGAGCAUUCGGACUCUGCUUCCAUUAGACUCCCAGACAUGUCUGACUAUGAGGUGCUCCCAAGAUCACACACCCUCUUCCUGGGUUCAGGAAUCCAAGAACUGCUAUUGAGGAAAGAGGGGAGCAGCCUGUGCACAAGUUAGGAAGCAGCCAAAGAGAAAACAGUGCCCGUGAGGAAAGCAAGCCUAGGGCAAGGGACUUGGGCACUUCAGACAACAAGCAGUCCCCAGUUCAUGGCAAAUGACUUGUACUUUGUAGCCAUCAAGUCACAAGCAAAGAAUGCAGGAGGCUAAGAAAGGCUGGAGACCAGCUCCUUUGAGAAAGAAACUUAAAGUCCAUAGCUAAGUGAGGCUCUAGGGCUCCAACCUCAUUCUCCUACAGAUGUGACUCUCCACCUUCUACAUCUACAAUAGACUGGGGUGCUCAGUGCAUGGCUCAGCCCUACACCCUGUCAGUGCGACUACCAGCAAGUUUCCAAGGCUGCCCACUCAGUGUGAGACUCAGUCCAAUGCCCUGUCCAUGGGGACCCCAGGCCAGUCUCCCAGAUGCACGUCAGGGUGAAUUCCCCAUGCCUCAUGCCAUAUCCUAGCCAGCCAGGGCACACAGUAGGUGCAAUAAUACCUUCUGGAAAUGAAUACUGGAAAUCAAUAAGCUACACAAUUCAUGUGCAUGAGAUCUAAAAAAGAACGCUAUCAAAAUAAAUAAAUAAAAAUUAAAAAGAAUGUUAUCCCUCAAUAUUUACAUGAACAGACACAAUGAAGCAAAGGGAGAGAAAGCAUUCCACACAAGUUCAACACUUCCUUCCACAUUCAUCCCGGAGAACCUACACAAUAUUCAGACAUGGCUUCAAGCCAAAUAACCCCACAAACAGCCCCACAUAGUUUAAGCCUGCCCUAAUAAAAAGUGACUGUAAAGCAUCAAGUUUCUGGAAGAAUUAAGUUAUGCCAAAUCUAUACUAUAAAUGUUUACAGAAUGCAAACAAAAAAAUUCAGAAUUUAUUAUCUGGUAUUAAUAUUCAGAAUUACAUGGUUAUCUUGUGUCAACUAUAAGCAUUUAUAGACUCCUUUAUAAUUUAUAAAGUAUAUUCACAUGUAUUAAC
rnacentral:lncRNA from 1 species